rnacentral:tRNA from 1 species
GGGUGGGUAGCUCAGUGGUUAGAGCUUCAGUCUCGCAUGACCGGAAGGUCCCGGGAUCGAAUCUCGCCAAAUGCA